rfam:Myotis brandtii contig316196, whole genome shotgun sequence.
GCCCGGGUAGCUCAGUUGGUUAGAGCAUUGUCCUGAUGUGCCAAGGUUGUGAGUCCAAUCCCCAGUCAGGGCA